GGAAGAGAAGAGCCUGAGAGAAAAAUAACACUUGGACUGGCACCAGGAGGGAGGCAGAAGGGACAGGAGAAGGGAAGGCUUGAACGGAAUGGGAAGAAGCUAAAGGGGAACAGAUGUUCUAAGUCAACUCAGGGGAAGGAAUUGCUCGAAGGAUGUGCUUGUCUCUGGAAGCUUAUGCAUUCUUCCUGAGAUUUCACAACCAGCUGAAGUAGGUACCUGCACCCAGCCGGACUCCAGUCCAGGGUCUGUGCAACAUUCACUUGCCUGCAGUGGCUCCUGUGAGCCCCAGUAAGACCACCCACAGCAGUGAAUCAAUGAAGACAGGACACUUGGAGAGCUUUUCCUGGGAUGUCUUCUUUAUUGAAGCUUUUCAAGAUCCUGAGUGGAAGACCAAGAGAAGCUGCACCUGGACUCCUGACCAUGGAAUCUGAGCUCUUAAGAGGUUUUUUGUCACAGCAACAGAAAUGAAACCAGAACAAGCAAAUAAGUAGAAGAAACAUCCAAAGCAAGACAUCACCUCUGUACAGAAAUGGCAACUUUUUUACUGUCUAGCU
rnacentral:sRNA from 1 species